GCUAACAUACCUGCUCCUCAAUACUUUCCUGUAGCCAUCCGGCCUUGCUCCAUCACAAUACACAGUGGUCAAUUCAUUUUGUGUGUCAUGGGCCACGUGGACCAGUAGUCUUUAGUCAGGCAAUGCCCAUGGAGUCAAUAGACUGAAUUUUUGGAAGGACAGAAUUUCCUCAUCUUAUAGGUUAGGUGGCAGCUCAGAGGGGAUUUUGUAGAUGGCAGUGGUGCUUAAAACUGGGGGUUUAGGAACCUAAUCCCCAUUGUGGCACCCAUAUGAACUCAAGAGAUGACAAAACCGCAGUCCAGAGUUGCUCACAAACUAGAGGAGUAAUCUCUUCCUAAAUUUAUAGCAUUCUGCUAUGAAGAACAGUGUGGCUCUUCCUGAGAAAAUUACUUUCACUGAGCAAC